UCUGAGGAAAUGCAGACUCUCUGACGGUACCGGAGGAGGAAGCCCCGGCUAACUACGUGCCAGCAGCCGCGGUAAUACGUAGGGGGCAAGCGUUGUCCGGAUUCACUGGGCGUAAAGCGCGCGCAGGCGGUGAUGUAAGUCUGAGGUGAAAACCCGAAGCUCAACUUCGGGACUGCCUUGGAUACUGCGUCACUUGAGGAUAGGAGAGGCAAGGGGAAUUCCACGUGUAGCGGUGAAAUGCGUAGAGAUGUGGAGGAACACCUGUGGCGAAGGCGCCUUGCUGGCCUAUUUCUGACGCUGAGGCGCGAAAGCGUGGGGAGCAAACAGGAUUAGAUACCCUGGUAGUCCACGCUGUAAACGAUGAGUGCUAGGUGUAGGUGGGCUCAUACCCAUCUGUGCCGAAGCUAACGCAUUAAGCACUCCGCCUGGGGAGUACGG
rnacentral:rRNA from 1 species